UUCAACAAGCGGUAAAAAAAUACAAUAAAAUAAAUCAAUAAAUAAAUAACAUAGAACUGUGGAUUAGUGAGUCAUCAUUCCUUUUCCUACAAGAAAUAGAGAAGUAGCAGUGACUCUGGCGUGGAAGACUAAUCGUCGUACAGUGCAGAUAGUCAAUCCAGUGUGUGAGUGAAAAUGGAAACAAAUUUCACACUUCACUGGAACUAGCUUUCCACUCCAUUCCCCUACAGCUUCCUCCUCCACUGACCGCAACUUCCUUCUCUUUCAUUCUUCAUUCUUCUUCUGGUUGCUCGCUGGCUGCUAUUUUAGCAACCGGAAUGACUAAUAACUCCCCCUCCCCCUCCCCCUCCUCCUCCUCCUCCUCCUCCUCCUCCUCCUCCUCCUCCUCCUCCUCCUCCUCUGAGUGUAUUUUUCAUUUCUAGUUCUGUUGUUUUACUUUUUCCUGCUCUAAGUCCUUUUUGUUGUUCAAAGCCAUGGCAAAUGCACCGGUUUUAUUUGCUCAAAACUUGCCGCUCGGAUGGAGAUUUGCCCCGACCGAUCAACAACUGGUUGGUCAUUACUUGAAGCGGAAGAGGCAUGGUGAUCCUAUCGAAGGCUCCGACAUCGUUGAGGUUAUUAAAUUCUGCAAUUAUAACCCUGGGGAUCUUGCUGGU
rnacentral:lncRNA from 1 species